rnacentral:misc_RNA from 1 species
GAUGAAGAACGUAGUGAAAUGCGAUAAGUAAUGUGAAUUGCAGAAUUCAGUGAAUCAUCGAAUCUUUGAACGCACAUUGCGCCCGCCAGUAUUCUGGCGGGCAUGCCUGUUCGAGCGUCAUUACAACCCUCAGGCCCCCGGGCCUGGCGUUGGGGAUCGGCGGAGCCCCCCGUGGGCACACGCCGUCCCCCAAAUGCAGUGGCGGUCCCGCCGCAGCUUCCAUCGCGUAGUAGCUAACACCUCGACUGGAGAGCGGCGCGGCCACGCCGUAAAACACCCAACUCUUCUGAAGUUGACCUCGGAUCAGGUAGGAAUACCCGCUGAACUUAAGCAUAUCAAUAAGCGGAGGA